CACCUUGAAAGAAUGACAAUUAUUGUGCUGGCCAGCUAGGUAGUUUGUGACCAUGGAAGAGAAUGACCCCCUGGCAAGACAUGAAUCUGCAGCUGCAAGGGCCAAAUGUGUGGAAGUUACAUACACAAACCAUCCACCACUUAAUGUCUAGAUGAUUUUAGUGUCUGGGAUGUAUCUUAGUAAAACAACACAAAAGACACAGGCAUUUUUUGAUGCAUGAAUGUUGAGAGUUUUUGAUGGGCCCACUUGAUUGCCCAGUGUGUGACCAGUACUUGUUAGUCUUAUCAAGAUUAAGAGAACAUGUUCCCACCAGUGGCAAAAGGCUGGUAACAUCUAGGAAGUUUGCCUGUGUCUUGUUGAUCUCGGAAGUAAACUUAUUUGAGCCGUGC